AAGAUUUUAAGUUAAAUAAACUAUAACCCUUCAAAGGUUAAAAUAAUGAAGUUAAAUCUUG
rnacentral:tRNA from 2 species